UUCAAAAACAAACCAAACCGAAAAAACUGAAAUUUUUAUAAUAUAAAAACAAACUAAACUGAAUUAUAUUAAAAACCGAAUCGAAUUACAGAAUUAAGGCGGUUUAUUCGGUUUGAACUAAAUGAUGCUCACCUCUACCAACCACCACCAAAAAAAAAAAAACACCCACCCCUAAUCACCCUUUUCCUCGUGCAUUUUUUUUUGUACUCUGGUCAUUUGAGCUCCCAUAGAUCUACUGAUUUAGUUGAUGUUUAUAUUCACUUUAUGGUAUGCAUACACAAAUUGGAGUAAGAGUGAGAUCUGAACUGUCUAAAGCAACAUAAUGAAUUUUGUAAUUGUAGAAGCAUGUGGAUUUAGAACAUGAUUGAAAUCUUUAUUUUUUGGGCAUUUGUAUGUUUCAUUCCCUCGACUUUCAAGUUUCAUUUGCUGAGGAUUGCUUUAUGAAUGAAGGGAAAAGACCUGAAAAAGUUCAAGUGGACUUAUACUGUACGCAUGAUAAUGUGUAAAUUGCUUUCUAAAAGUUUGAAGUUUGGCCUGUGAUAGACGCUGCCUCUUGGUUCCUAAUUUUAAAUCUAUUGCAGGAUGGCUUACUUGGAAUUCAAGG
rnacentral:misc_RNA from 1 species